GAGUUUGAUCAUGGCUCAGGAUGAACGCUAGCGAUAGGCUUAACACAUGCAAGUCGAGGGGCAUCACGGGAUUAGCUUGCUAAUCUUGGUGGCGACCGGCGUAAGGGUGCGUAACGCGUAUGCAACUUGCCUGUCAGUGGGGAAUAACCCGGAGAAAUCCGGACUAAUACCGCAUACACUUUGGUUUCCGCAUGGGGACUUUAGGAAAGAUUUAUUGCUGACAGAUAGGCAUGCGUUCCAUUAGAUAGUUGGUGAGGUAACGGCUCACCAAGUCAACGAUGGAUAGGGGAGCUGAGAGGCUUAUCCCCCACACUGGAACUGAGACACGGUCCAGACUCCUACGGGAGGCAGCAGUGAGGAAUAUUGGUCAAUGGGCGAGAGCCUGAACCAGCCAAGUCGCGUGAAGGAAGACGGUCCUAUGGAUUGUAAACUUCUUUAGUAGGUGAGUACAAGCAGUUACGUGUAGCUGUAAGCAAGUACCUAG
rnacentral:rRNA from 1 species